rnacentral:lncRNA from 1 species
CUAGUAUCCUCGCUGAUCUUAAAUCCAAGCAAGCUAGCCUUCGCACUAUCCUAAGGGUUUUAGAAGACGACCUAGAAGAGAAGCAUACUGAGAUUAGGAACCUCAACGAUGAUAUCAAUAGGUUUCGUUUCAGGUUCAACAAUAAGCUGAGGAAGGUCGCUGAAAACCUAGGUGUUGGUUGCCUCGUGGAAAAUCUUUAGACCACAUCUGCUGCACGCUUCUCGUUGUUUUGGCACAAGCAUGAUCUUCUUUGUUGCUUAAUUUAUUUCCCUUCAAUAAUGUAACGUGCCUUUUCAAAGUUAUCAAUAAUAUUUUUGAGUUAUCAUGAGCACUUGUUUUCUUUAUAUAUUAUGACUAACCAUGACAGAGAAGAAAACAAGUGUGGGGGAGGGAAUCUUCGAGAACUCGGUUUGCACAACCUUCUCCCCUUCUAAAAAGUUUUUCGAAAAUAAAAUAUUUAAAAUAUCGUUACCUUCAAACUCCAUUUAACAUGUCUCCUAGUUUCAAAUUUGCUUUGCAUAUGGUUUAAUCCUUGCUAAUGUCCUUGAGGUUAUGAAUACUUGUAGUAGGAACCCCACUUUAUCUAAGUAAUUGACAUAUGUGAUAUAGUAGGAUGACAUGAUUCUUGCUAAGUUCUUACAAAGUACUUGGGAUUUAGUUUAUCAAAAACAAAAGUUACACAUGGCAAGUUUCCUUUAGUGGUUUUAAGCUUUCACCUACCAACGCCAAAUAUACUUUGAUCAUGAUGAAACCUUCAGUCAUAUGCUGCUUGUAGUAUGUUGAGCUUUGUCAAAUUGUUGUGACCCAAGCGAGAUUAUGGUCUUACGCCCAUGACUAGAGAUUCACUUACACCCACCAAAUAAAGCCGACUCUUACACUAAGAAGUCGCGCACAACAUGCACCCUUCCAUCCACCGAAAAUUUUGCCAACUCUUAUCCUGAGAGUUGUGCCUUAGCUUUCCACCAAAUAAAAAAUCCAAACUCUCAUCCUGAGAUUUGCGCAUCCCCAAAUUCACUCCUUACUUUUUGUCCUCAUGACAUCUCUUUAAUUUUCUUUGAUUCCAUUCAUCAAGACAAAUGUGCUAUAGUUGAAAAAAAUUCAAAGGAAAAAAAAAACCAAAGAGGGAUAGAUGGGAAAGAAAGAAAAAAAUCAAACGUCCCCGUCAUGAAAAAAAGAAAUGAGGGAAAAAUAUACACAAGAUAGAGCCCAUAUGUUUUCCUCUCUCUCUUUAUUUUAUCCUUCAAAAUAAAAGAGAGUCAUGAUGCAAAAAGGAGUGACCAAAAAUAUUUAGAAUUAGGAUUUCCAUCAAUUCCACAAACAAUUUUCACACAUUUGCACAAUCUCAAUCGAGGCGUAAGGCUUGUAUCUCCUGGUGGUCCGGUUUUUGACUUCGCAACAUAUGUGCUGCAAGUUUGCCCACCUUUUAUACCUACCCAAAAAUCCAGAUAAAGCUUUUAGAGGUAGGAAGAUCAUAAGAAGGCAUCAAUCUUCUAUGCCUUGGUAAGGAACCACUUACAUAUAUGAGCGAUUUGAGAGAAUCAUUCAAGGAAUCACAAGCCAUGUUUUUAUUUCAAAAUCUUACAAAAACACAAGUGUCUUAAGUAAGAGCAAAGUCAAGAGGACUUGAAUCCAGGUUGUUCCAUAUUUCAAUCACCAAAGAUUUAUGUUGUAGACACUUUGAAGUUCACAAACCCAUGUGAAGCUUGGAAUAACCUGUAUGCAGGCUCUUUGACAAUGGUGAUGAACCCAUUUGGUCCUAAGUGCCUUCACUCGAGGAUGAGCAAAGGACAAAGUGUGGGGGAGUUGUUGGCCACGCUUAUUAUAUAAAAAUAAAUAUCUUUUUAUAAAAAAAAUAAAUAUAAAAUAGAGCUUUGAUCUAAUCUUUCCACGAGUUUUGGUAUAUACGCUAUUUUCAGGUAUGACACGUGGAAAAGUGCAAAAGAUACAAGAAAUGUGCAAUGCAAGAAUUCGUAUUUAGAAAAGACGCAGACCAACUCCAAUAGAGAAAAGCCCACAAAAGAUGAAUUGGACCCAUCCGUAACCACGAGGAGGAUCAGGGCCCAGAGCACAACCGACCACGCGAAGGUAGUGGCCAUAGUUAUCAUGCAAGCUAACACUAGGAGUGUUACAUAUAUCUUUAGCUAUAGGAGGUGUAAAUGCCUCAAGAGAGAACCAUAAAUACCACAUACACUGAGAGACUUGAGGGUGUCAUACAAUUAAGCUCUGAGAUUUAUUCUAAAAACUUAUAAAAACUCUAGAAUAAUGGUUUUGCAAAGAAUUUGAGACAUAUGGCUUGACCUGAUUGUUCUAUCUUCUAAUUGCUCAAGACUCAUUCAAAAGCUGUAAAGCCCCAUGGUUAAAGGUAAAUGUGUAAGUUUGAAGAUUAGAGCAAGUAUUGACUA